rnacentral:rRNA from 1 species
CCUACGGGAGGCAGCAGUGAGGAAUAUUGGUCAAUGGACGCAAGUCUGAACCAGCCAUGCCGCGUGCAGGAAGACGGCUCUAUGAGUUGUAAACUGCUUUUGUACGAGGGUAAACGCAGAUACGCGUAUCUGUCUGAAAGUACCGUACGAAUAAGGAUCGGCUAACUCCGUGCCAGCAGCCGCGGUAAUACGGAGGAUCCAAGCGUUAUCCGGAUUUAUUGGGUUUAAAGGGGGCGUAGGCGGUCGGAUAAGUUAGAGGUGAAAGCCCGGGGCUCAACUUCGGAAUUGCCUCUGAUACUGUUCGGCUAGAGAGUAGUUGCGGUAGGCGGAAUGUGUGGUGUAGCGGUGAAAUGCUUAGAGAUCAUGCAGAACACCGAUUGCGAAGGCAGCUUGCCAAGCUACGUCUGACGUUGAGGCACGAAAGCGUGGGGAGCAAACAGGAUUAGAUACCCCUGUAGUC